rnacentral:rRNA from 1 species
UACGUAGGUGGCAAGCGUUGUCCGGAAUUAUUGGGCGUAAGCGCGCGCAGGCGGUUCCUUAAGUCUGAUGUGAAAGCCCCCGGCUCAACCGGGGAGGGUCAUUGGAAACUGGGGAACUUGAGUGCAGAAGAGAAGAGCGGAAUUCCACGUGUAGCGGUGAAAUGCGUAGAGAUGUGGAGGAACACCAGUGGCGAAGGCGGCUCUUUGGUCUGUAACUGACGCUGAGGCGCGAAAGCGUGGGAGCAAACAGG